rnacentral:lncRNA from 1 species
UGGACAGAUGUGAGCCUUUUUGUGAUGAAUGGCAUGCUGCAGGUAAGGAUGGAUGAUGAGGCUAGAUUUGAGAAACAGAGAUUACAGUUUAAUUAACCAAUAGCUUCCUUUAUUACAAUUUAAAGAGAGAGAAUUCUUUGCAAGUUAAUGUCCUGACAAUUCAUCAAAAAAAAAUAUAUCUCUGGGUUAAGGAAUAGUCCAAAUUGAAAAAUUACAGUUCAGUUUCGGUUCAGUUGCAUGGGCAAAAUGAAGUCGGGAACAAAGAUGAGAUUGAUAUUGCUUUCUAGAUGUUAGAGAUCAACAGUGGUGAAGAACGAUGGAGAUGAAUGUCAGAGACGAACAAUGGAGACAAUUGGCGGAGAUGAACGGUGGAUUUUUUGAUGGAAAUACCAUAGAGCCGAAAGACAUACCAACAAACCAAUCAAUUCAACCGCCCCUCUAAAUUUCCACCAGAGCUCUUAUAUACCAUCUCUGAUAACUUUAUUCUAUGUUUCCCCCCUUUCUGGGAAAGAUAGAAUGCUUAUUCUUACCAAGAAAAUGACAUGUAAAACAAUACGUUUUGCUGACACUUUAUAUACCAGUUCUGGCAGCUCAUUGUUAUUGGGGACGAGAGUACACAGGUUGGAUAUGAUUAUAAGAUAUAUCAUCAUAUAUCUCCUUUCAAUGCAUCUUUCUCUCUCCUCCAAAUUCCUUUCUCCAUCUUUCCCCUUUCUCUAUACAAAAAAAAAAACA